UACAGAGGUCCCAAGCGUUGUCCGGAAUCAUUGGGCGUAAAGAGCGUGUAGGCGGCCCGGUAAGUCCGCUGUGAAAGUCCAGGGCUCAACCCUGGGAUGCCGGUGGAUACUGUCGGGCUCGAGUCCGGAAGAGGAGUGUGGAAUUCCUGGUGUAGCGGUGAAAUGCGCAGAUAUCAGGAGGAACACCAAUGGCGAAGGCAGCACUCUGGGACGUGACUGACGCUGAGACGCGAAAGCGUGGGGAGCAAACAGG
rnacentral:rRNA from 1 species